GACGAACGCUGGCGGCGUGCCUAAUACAUGCAAGUUGAGCGCUGAAGGUUGGUACUUGUACCAACUGGAUGAGCAGCGAACGGGUGAGUAACGCGUGGGGAAUCUGCCUUUGAGCGGGGGACAACAUUUGGAAACGAAUGCUAAUACCGCAUAAAAACUUUAAACACAAGUUUUAAGUUUGAAAGAUGCAAUUGCAUCACUCAAAGAUGAUCCCGCGUUGUAUUAGCUAGUUGGUGAGGUAAAGGCUCACCAAGGCGAUGAUACAUAGCCGACCUGAGAGGGUGAACGGCCACAUUGGGACUGAGACACGGCCCAAACUCCUACGGGAGGCAGCAGUAGGGAAACUUCGGCAAUGGACGAAAGUCUGACCGAGCAACGCCGCGUGAGUGAAGAAGGUUUUCGGAUCGUAAAACUCUGUUGGUAGAGAAGAACGUUGGUGAGAGUGGAAAGCUCAUCAAGUGACGGUAACUACCCAGAAAGGGACGGCUAACUACGUG
rnacentral:rRNA from 1 species